CGGUGUUGCUUCUUCGGGUUGGGUCCGGUAACGUCGAGUUGUGAGGAUUCGUUCGACUUUGUUCGUUUGUCUUCUUCAUGGACUCGUUCUUCUUCCUUGCGGGAUUUCAGGCAAGAUGAUCAUACCCUCGAAAUCACUACUAUCUUUGCUAUGCUAGUUUGCUCGCUCUUUUGCUAUGCCAAUGCUACGAUGCCUACCAUUUGCUUGUCAGCCUCCCAAAUUGCCAUGUCAAACCUCUAACCCACCAUGUCCUAGCAAACCGUUGAUUGGCUGUGUUACCGCUUUGCUCAGCCCCUCUUAUAGCGUUGUUAGUUGCAGGUGAAGAUUGGAUGUCGUUCCUUGUUGGAAUAUUUAUUUACUUGUUGGGAUAUCACUAUAUAUCUGAUUUAAUUAAUGCAUCUAUAUACUUGGUAAAGGGUGGAAGGCUCGGCCUUAUGCCUGGUGUUUUGUUCCACUCUUGCCGCCCUAGUUUUCGUCAUAUCGGUGUUAUGUUUCCGGAUUUUGCAUUCCUCACGCGGUUGGGCUAUAAUGGGAACCCCUUGACAGUUUGCCUUAAGUAAAGCUUUUUCAGCAAUGCCCAACAUUGGUUUUACCAUUUGCCACCUAGCCUUUUCUUUUCCCUUGGGGGUCGCGCGCCCAAGGGUCACCAUUAUUUUUAAUCCCCCGGGCCAAUGCUCCUCUGAGUGUUGGUCCGAACUGAGCUGCCUGCGGGGCCACCUCGGGGAAACUUGAGGGUUGGUUUUACUCGUAGCUAGUCUCAUCUGAGUGUGCCCUGAGAAAGAGAUAUGUGCAGCUCCUAUCGGGAUUUGUCGGCACAUUCGGGCGGUGUUGCUGGUUUAGUUUUACCCUGUCAAAAUGUCUUGUUGUACCGGGAUACCGAGUCUGAUCGGAAUGUCUCGGGUGGAGGUCUAUUCCUUCGUUGACCGUGAGAGCUUGUGAUGGGCUAAGUUGGGACACCCCUGCAGGGAUUUGAACUUUCGAAAGCCGUGCCCGCGGUUAUGGGCAGAUGGGAAUUUUUUAACGUUCGGUUGUAGAAAACCUGAACUUGACCUUAAUUAAAAUGAAUCAACCGCGUGUGUAACCGUGAUGGUCUCUUUCUGGCGGAGUCCGGGAAGUGAACACGGUGUUGGAGUUAUGCUUGACGUAGGUAGUCUAGGAUCACUUCUUGAUCAUACUUUUAUCGACCGUGCUUUGCCUUCUCUUCUCGCUCUCAUUUGCGUAUGUUUAGCCACCAUAUAUGCUAGUCGCUUGCUGCAACUCCACCUCAUAUCUUGCCUUACCUAUGAGCUUAAAUAGUCUUGAUCGCGAGGGUGCGAGAUUGCUGAGUCCCCGUGGCUCACAGAUACUUCCAAAACUAGCUUGCAGGUGCCGAUGAGUCUGUGCAGAUGACGCAACCAAGCUCAGGAGGAGCUCGAUGAAGAUCUUGUCCUUUGUGUUGUUUCGUUCUAGUUGAUCAGUAGUGGAGCCCAGUUGGGGGUGAUUGGGACCUUUGUUGCAUUUGGGGUUCUUCUUUUAUUUUGGUUCCGUAGUCGGACCUUGAUUGUAUUUGUUUGAUGUAAUGCUUUAUUCUUGCAAUUGUGUGAAGUGGCGAUUGUAAGCCAACUAUGUAUCUUUUUCCCUUAUGAAUUACAUGGGUUGUG
rnacentral:lncRNA from 1 species